rnacentral:rRNA from 1 species
GACGAACGCUGGCGGCAUGCCUAAUACAUGCAAGUCGAACGAGCUUCCGUUGAAUGACGUGCUUGCACUGAUUUCAACAAUGAAGCGAGUGGCGAACUGGUGAGUAACACGUGGGAAAUCUGCCCCAGAAAGCAGGGGGAUAACACUUGGAAACAGGUGCUAAUACCGUAUAACAACAAAAAUCCGCAUGGAUUUUGUUUGAAAGGUGGCUUCGGCUAUCACUU